AGGGGUGUAGCUCAGUUGGUAGAGUACCGGUCUCCAAAACCGGGUGUCGGGGGUUCGAGUCCCUCCGCCCCUGCCA
rnacentral:tRNA from 1 species